rnacentral:rRNA from 1 species
UAACAAGGUUUCCGUAAGUGAACCUGCACAAGGAUCAUUG